CUCCAGAGGUAUCAGUCUCUCUCUCUCUCUCUCCAGAGGUAUCAGUCUCUCUCUCUCUCUCUCUCCAGAGGUAUCAGUCUCUCUCCAGUAUCAGUGUAUCUUCAGACUUACCCAGCAUCGUUGUCCGUCCUCUUCAGUCCUUUGGAGAUGUGAGUCAGACUGUGUCUGAACUGAGAGAGAAACUAGAAGACUUCCUUAAAGGAGAAUGGACCAAGAUCUCCACUACAGUGAAUAUGGUGGAUGUUGUACUGCCUCCAGAGCCCAAGACCAGAGAACAGUUGUUACAAUAUUCCUGUCAGCUCACACUGGACCCAAACACAGCACACACACACCUCUCUGUCUGAAGGGAACAGAAAGGUGACCUAUACAGGCCAAGUCCAACCAUAUCCUGACCAUCCAGACAGAUUCACCAACUACAGGCAGGUUCUGUGUAGAGAGGGUCUGUCUGGACGCUGUUACUGGGAGGUGGAGAGGACUGGUGAUGUUGAUACAGCAGUCUCAUAUAAAGACAUCAGCAGAAC